rnacentral:rRNA from 1 species
UACGUAGGGUGCAGGCGUUGUCCGGAAUUAUUGGGCGUAAAGAGCUCGUAGGCGGUCUGUUGCGUCGGCUGUGAAAACCCGGGGCUCAACUCCGGGCCUGCAGCCGAUACGGGCAGACUAGAGUUCGGCAGGGGAGACUGGAAUUCCGGGUGUAGCGGUGAAAUGCGCAGAUAUCAGGAAGAACACCCGUGGCGAAGGCGGUUCUCUGGAACGCAACUGACGCCGAGACGCGAAAGCGUGGGGAGCAAACAGG